rnacentral:snoRNA from 1 species
GGAUCAUCUGAAGAGAAAACUGCAACAAUAUGAUACUUAAUGAUUCGUUGUAUUUAAGUCUCUGAUGAUU